rnacentral:rRNA from 1 species
UACAGAGGGGGCAAGCGUUGUUCGGAAUUACUGGGCGUAAAGGGCGCGUAGGCGGCCUUCUAAGUCGAACGUGAAAUCCCCGGGCUCAACCUGGGGGCUGCGCUUGAUACUGAUGAGCUUGAAUGCGGGAGAGGAUAGUGGAAUUCCCAGUGUAGAGGUGAAAUUCGUAGAUAUUGGGAAGAACACCGGUGGCGAAGGCGACCAUCUGGACGACAACUGACGCUGAGGCGCGAAAGCGUGGGGAGCAAACAGG